AACGCACGAGACCUGCGGACCUGCGGAAGGAUCAUUAGCGAUGAAAUUUGGCAAGGGGGCAGCCGCGCGGCUCGACCCUUUGGCAGAUGCUUGAGGGCAGGAGGGUGGCUGGAGGCUACGGCCUUGGGCCUAAUCUUGCCCUGAAGGGCGCUUGGACGCAAGUCUAAAGCGAGCCAAGGGCAAGCCUUGGCAAACAGGCAGCAAGUAAUAUAAGUUACCGAGUACAAAACAAAGGACAAC
rnacentral:misc_RNA from 1 species